UACGUAGGUCCCGAGCGUUGUCCGGAUUUAUUGGGCGUAAAGCGAGCGCAGGUGGUUUAAUAAGUCUGGUGUAAAAGGCAGUGGCUCAACCAUUGUAUGCAUUGGAAACUGGUAGACUUGAGUGCAGGAGAGGAGAGUGGAAUUCCAUGUGUAGCGGUGAAAUGCGUAGAUAUAUGGAGGAACACCGGUGGCGAAAGCGGCUCUCUGGACUGUAACUGACACUGAGGCUCGAAAGCGUGGGGAGCAAACAGG
rnacentral:rRNA from 1 species